rnacentral:rRNA from 1 species
UACGUAGGUGGCAAGCGUUGUCCGGAAUUAUUGGGCGUAAAGCGCGCGCAGGCGGCCUCUUAAGUCUGAUGUGAAAGCCCCCGGCUCAACCGGGGAGGGCCAUUGGAAACUGGGAGGCUUGAGUAUAGGAGAGAAGAGUGGAAUUCCACGUGUAGCGGUGAAAUGCGUAGGAGAUGUGGAGGAACACCAGUGGCGAAGGCGAUCGUCUUUGGCCUAUAACUGACGCUGAGGCGACGAAGGCGUGGGGAGCAAA